rnacentral:rRNA from 1 species
AUGUACUCCGAAACCUCCACCGAUGGGCUGAACCAGGUGCCUUUCUCACUUGAGGACCCGGAUUACAAGGGCCUUGAGCUAGAUCUGAUGGUGUUCUGCGAGAAGCAUGGGAAGUCAUCAGAGAGGCUUGUUGCGUUUGAAGGAACAAUGACUGGGAGAAGGAUCUCUUGGCCACAUGUGGCAAGGUUUAAUACUAAUCUUGAUGGUAGAGGGAGCGUGCGAUGUUUGAUCACAUCAAACUUGGAAAUACUUCCAAUACAUAUUGAAGGUCGGAAUUGUGGGUUUGUUCAGUGGGUUGAUGAGCAGUGGCUCCCAACAAUGGAGAAUGCAUUGUUGAAGCUUUGGUCAAUGGUUGAAGAGAGCAAGUGUGCUAGGGUGAAUGAUAAUCUUGAAAGUGCUUUAACUAUUCACCAUUUGACAAAAGAAAAGAACAAGCUGGAUGCAGACUAUGACAAGUUGGUGAAAGAUGUGCAUCAACUUGUGGAUAUCCAGGCUGAUAGGGUUGUGGAUUUCAGUUAUCUGCAGUCCAACCUCACAUAUCAGCAGGAAUGCAGAGCUGAGUUGAUUGCUGGUAUGAAGGCAGAAAUGGCAAAGAAAGAUGCAGCUGCAGAGAAGGUUCAACAGAAGUAUGAAAUCCUGUGCAACCUGACAAGUGCUCAAGCAACUGUCAUCCAAAACCUGAAGUUGAAGAAUAUG